rnacentral:rRNA from 1 species
CCCUUAGAUGUUCUGGGAUGCACGCGCGUUACACUGAUUCGUUCAACGAGUUUAUGACCUUGCCUGAUGAGGUGGGGGAAUCUUUUCAAAUCGCAUCGUGAUGGGGAUAGAGUAUUGUAACUGUUAGUCUUCAACGAGGAAUUCCUAGUAAGUACGUGUCAUCAGCUCGUACUGAUUAUGUCCCUGCCCUUUGUACACACCGCCCGUCGCUCCUACCGAUUGAGUGCUCAGGUGAAUAGUAUGGACUGCAUCAGUGUUCGAUCUCCGAAUGUUGACGCGAGAAAUUCUGUGAAUCUUAUUGCUUAGAGGAAGGAGAAGUCGUAACA